ensembl:lncRNA
GCCAAUGGCAGCAGUACAGCAAAUAUUUGGGCCCUGUCCUACAUGUGCUUAAUCCUUAUGAAAUGCAGAUGCUGUAUGCAAAUUUCCCCAAGGGACACUUUCAUGAUUGGCCUUUAUUGAUAUUGAAAAUUAUGUUAAAUUAUGGUAACAUAUAUAGAAUUGCCAUCACCAGUGAGAUGUACAUUGCUAGAACUGAGCUGGACCUUCAGAACUGUCUUUGUGUCAUAAACUUAACAAGGUGCUGGAAACAUUCCUCUGAGAUCCAUGCUGACAUGAUAGUAUUGCAUAGUUGCUGCAGAUUUGUCAGCUGAACAUCUAUGAUACGAAUCUUGUGUUUCUCAGAGGUUCUCUAAUGAAUUGAGAUCUGGUGACUGUGGAGACCAUUUGAGUACAGUGAACUCAUUUUUAUGUUCAAGAAACAAGUUUGAGAUUAUCUGAGCUUUAUGCAGGAAGCAGUCAUCAGAAUAUGGUACACUGUCAUCAUGAAGAGUGAAGAGAGACUGUGGCAUGUUAACAAUGCUCAGAGGAUAAUAAAGGAGACAAAGUAUCCCAAGAAAAUAUCCCCCACACCCAAUCAGAGGCAUCCAGAACUGUUGAUACAAGGCAGCAUGAAUUCAAGCUUUCAUGUAGUUUAUUCCAAAUACCUGACCCUACGAAACUCAUCAGACCAGGAGACAUUUUUCCAAACAUCUAUUUUCUGAUUAUGGUGAGCCCCUGUGAACUGUAGCCAUUGUAGCUGAUCUACAUCAAGGUUUCAUGUAUUCUGCAUUCAGAGAUGAUUUUCCAAUUAUAGUGAUUGUAGUAAGAACUUAUUUGAGGUACUGUUGGCUUCCUUGACCUUUGGUAUAAACAAGGCAUUUUUGGCCAAAGCAAAGACAGUGUGAAGUACUGAAGCAGAUUACUCUUAUAGUUUACCCAACAGACUCUUUGGUAGAAAAAAAGAAGAAAAAAUUAUAAUUUCUUAGCAACACUUUGCAACAAAAAAACAAAAAAUGACACUAAUAAAUCUCCACCAGCUACACAUAACCAAAAUAAAUAAAUAAAUUCAGGUGCAGCUGGUUAAGUUGCACAGAAGUAAAUAUCAGCACUCGACUCCCAGUCUCCUCAAUGAAAGGACAUCUUUAAGAGCCUGCAGGAGAGAUGUGAAUGUAGCCUUUUGAUAAGCUGGAAACCUGGAAUACCACCCAUUGUAGGAUAGGCUUCCACUUCCUGUGACCCUGAACAGAAUAAAUGGGUAAAGAGAAUUCAUGUCUGAACGAAGUGAAGUGAAGUGAACUGAAUUUAAUGAUCACAGGAGCUGUCGACUGAGAACCAGAAAGACCAAACACACACACUCUGAUAUGCAUGGCUGGACACACCACAGAGACUCUUUUAGAAAAAUACCUAAGUCAGAGAGAUGAGCUUCCUCUCCUUCCUUCUACUCUCUUCUCUCUCUCUUCUGUCUAUGAUUUAAAGCUCCAGUUUGUUGCCUUAAAGAUUCAAAGCCUCAGCGCUCCCUCUAAACAGAUGUGCAGUCUUUAUCGGCAUUU